GGGGCUUUGAUAUUGCAAGGAGCACCACUCUGUGGGCUCCAAACCUUUCCUAUCUUCCACAUACACCUGUGCAUGCAUGAUCGUGUUGGCUGCUGUCGCCUAGCGGCUCUGGCUGAUGCGGUUGUCUUUUUCACUUAACUCUAUGUUAAUGGAUGUAAACAAACCGAGCUAUACGCUCAAAUGAAAGUAAAACUUUCGACAACGGAUCUCUUGGUUCUCCCAUCGAUGAAGAACGCAGCGAAAUGCGAUAAGUAAUGUGAAUUGCAGAAUUCAGUGAAUCAUCGAAUCUUUGAACGCACCUUGCGCUCUUGGGUAAUCCCAAGAGCAUGCCUGUUUGAGUGUCAUGAAUCUCUCACAAAGCAAGUUUUUUAACAAAAGCUUUUGCGGCGUGGAUCUGAGCGUUUGCCUGCGAUAAGCCUGGGCUCGCUUGAAAUGGAGUAGCGAGUUUGUAUGAAUGCAAACCUUGCCGUUCAUCGUUAUGGUUUCCUUCGAUGAGUAAGCGGCUUGGUGGAACGUUUAUAAUAUAAGACUUGCUUCCAAUCGCGUUGUAAGGACGCAACUUUUUAUUUCAUCUGGCCUCAAAUCAGGUAGGACUACCCGCUGAACUUAAGCAUAUCAAUAAGCGGAGGAAGAGAAACUAACAAGGAUUCCCCUAGUAACGGCGAGUGAAGCGGGAUGAGCUCAAAUUUGAAAGCUGGCCUUUUUGGUCCGCGUUGUAAUCUCGAGAAGUGUUUUCCGUGUUGGACCGCGUACAAGUCCCUUGGAAUAGGGCGUCGUAGAGGGUGAGAAUCCCGUACUUGACGUGGCAGCCAAUGCUUUGUGAUACACUCUCCACGAGUCGAGUUGUUUGGGAAUGCAGCUCAAAAUGGGUGGUAAAUUCCAUCUAAAGCUAAAUAUUGGGGAGAGACCGAUAGCGAACAAGUACCGUGAGGGAAAGAUGAAAAGCACUUUUGGAAAGAGAGUUAAACAGUACGUGAAAUUGUCGAAAGGGAAGCGCUUGAAGUCAGCUAUGCUGUU
rnacentral:rRNA from 1 species